rnacentral:rRNA from 1 species
AUUGAACGCUGGCGGCAUGCCUUACACAUUCAAGUCGAACGGCAGCGGGGGAGAAGCUUGCUUUUCCUGCCGGCGAGUGGCGAACGGGUGAGUAAUACAUCGGAACGUGCCCUGUAGUGGGGGAUAACUAGUCGAAAGAUUAGCUAAUACCGCAUACAACCUGAGGGUGAAAGGGGGGGACCGCAAGGCCUCAUGCUAUAGGAUCGGCCGAUGUCUGAUUAGCUAGUUGGUGGGGUAAAGGCCUACCAAGGCGACGAUCAGUAGCUGGUCUGAGAGGACGAUCAGCCACACUGGGACUGAGACACGGCCCAGACUCCUACGGGAGGCAGCAGUGGGGAAUUUUGGACAAUGGGCGAAAGCCUGAUCCAGCAAUGCCGCGUGUGUGAAGAAGGCCUUCGGGUUGUAAAGCACUUUUGUCCGGAAAGAAAUGGCUCUGGUUAAUACCUGGGGUCGAUGACGGUACCGGAAGAAUAAGGACCGGCUAACUACGUGCCAGCCGCCGCCGUAA